UAGGGAAUCUUCCACAAUGGGCGCAAGCCUGAUGGAGCAACACCGCGUGAGUGAAGAAGGGUUUCGGCUCGUAAAGCUCUGUUGUUAAAGAAGAACACGUAUGAGAGUAACUGUUCAUACGUUGACGGUAUUUAACCAGAAAGUCACGGCUAACUACGUGCCAGCAGCCGCGGUAAUACGUAGGUGGCAAGCGUUGUCCGGAUUUAUUGGGCGUAAAGCGAGCGCAGGCGGAAGAAUAAGUUUGAUGUGAAAGCCCUCGGCUUAACCGAGGAACUGCAUCGGAAACUGUUUUUCUUGAGUGCAGAAGAGGAGAGUGGAACUCCAUGUGUAGCGGUGGAAUGCGUAGAUAUAUGGAAGAACACCAGUGGCGAAGGCGGCUCUCUGGUCUGCAACUGACGCUGAGGCUCGAAAGCAUGGGUAGCGAACAGGAUUAGAUACCCUGGUAGUCCAUGCCGUAAACGAUGAGUGCUAAGUGUUGGGAGGUUUCCGCCACUCAGUGCUGCAGCUAACGCAUUAAGCACUCCGCCUGGGGAGUACGACCGCAAGGUUG
rnacentral:rRNA from 1 species